GGCUCAAUGGUCUAGAGGUAUGAUACUUCCUUCGGGUGGGAAACAACCCAGCGUUGGCAAUAACAACGUUCUGAUAUGGAAGUGGCCCCGGGUUCGAUUCCCGGUUGAGCCC